rnacentral:rRNA from 1 species
GACGAACGCUGGCGGCGUGCUUAACACAUGCCAGUCGAACGGUGAAGCAGAGCUUGCUCUGUGGAUCAGUGGCGAACGGGUGAGUAACACGUGAGUAACCUGCCCUUGACUCUGGGAUAAGCGUUGGAAACGACGUCUAAUACCGGAUACGAGCUGAGACCGCAUGGUCAUCAGUUGGAAAGAUUUUUUGGUCAAGGAUGGACUCGCGGCCUAUCAGCUUGUUGGUGAGGUAAUGGCUCACCAAGGCGACGACGGGUAGCCGGCCUGAGAGGGUAACCGGCCACACUGGGACUGAGACACGGCCCAGACUCCUACGGGAGGCAGCAGUGGGGAAUAUUGCACAAUGGGCGCAAGCCUGAUGCAGCAACGCCGCGUGAGGGAUGACGGCCUUCGGGUUGUAAACCUCUUUUAGUAGGGAAGAAGCGAAAGUGACGGUACCUGCAGAAAAAGCACCGGCUAACUACGUG